AGUGAACGCUGGCGGUAGGCCUAACACAUGCAAGUCGAACGGCAGCACAGGAGAGCUUGCUCUCUGGGUGGCGAGUGGCGGACGGGUGAGGAAUACAUCGGAAUCUACUUUUUCGUGGGGGAUAACGUAGGGAAACUUACGCUAAUACCGCAUACGACCUACGGGUGAAAGCAGGGGACCUUCGGGCCUUGCGCGAUUGAAUGAGCCGAUGUCGGAUUAGCUAGUUGGCGGGGUAAAGGCCCACCAAGGCGACGAUCCGUAGCUGGUCUGAUAGGAUGAUCAGCCACACUGGGACAGAGACACGGUCCAGACUCCGACGGGAGGCAGCAGUGGGGAAUAUUGGACAAUGGGCGCAAGCCUGAUCCAGCCAUACCGCGUGGGUGAAGAAUGCAUUCGGGUUGUAAAGCCCUUUUGUUAGGAAAGAAAUCCAGCUGGCUAAUACCCGGUUGGGAUGACGGUACCCAAAGAAUAAGCACCGGCUAACUUCGUGCCAGCCGCCGCGGUAA
rnacentral:rRNA from 1 species